rnacentral:rRNA from 1 species
AUUGAACGCUGGCGGCAGGCCUAACACAUGCAAGUCGAGCGGAUGAAGGGAGCUUGCUCCUGGAUUCAGCGGCGGACGGGUGAGUAAUGCCUAGGAAUCUGCCUGGUAGUGGGGGAUAACGUCCGGAAACGGGCGCUAAUACCGCAUGCGUCCUGAGGGAGAAAGUGGGGGAUCUUCGGACCUCACGCUAUCAGAUGAGCCUAGGUCGGAUUAGCUAGUUGGUGGGGUAAAGGCCUACCAAGGCGACGAUCCGUAACUGGUCUGAGAGGAUGAUCAGUCACACUGGAACUGAGACACGGUCCAGACUCCUACGGGAGGCAGCAGUGGGGAAUAUUGGACAAUGGGCGAAAGCCUGAUCCAGCCAUGCCGCGUGUGUGAAGAAGGUCUUCGGAUUGUAAAGCACUUUAAGUUGGGAGGAAGGGCGGUAAGUUAAUACCUUGCUGUUUUGACGUUACCAACAGAAUAAGCACCGGCUAACUUCGUG